rnacentral:rRNA from 1 species
GAUGAACGCUGGCGGCGUGCCUAAUACAUGCAAGUCGAGCGAACGGACGAGAAGCUUGCUUCUCUGAUGUUAGCGGCGGACGGGUGAGUAACACGUGGAUAACCUACCUAUAAGACUGGGAUAACUUCGGGAAACCGGAGCUAAUACCGGAUAAUAUUUUGAACCGCAUGGUUCAAAAGUGAAAGACGGUCUUGCUGUCACUUAUAGAUGGAUCCGCGCUGCAUUAGCUAGUUGGUAAGGUAACGGCUUACCAAGGCAACGAUGCAUAGCCGACCUGAGAGGGUGAUCGGCCACACUGGAACUGAGACACGGUCCAGACUCCUACGGGAGGCAGCAGUAGGGAAUCUUCCGCAAUGGGCGAAAGCCUGACGGAGCAACGCCGCGUGAGUGAUGAAGGUCUUCGGAUCGUAAAACUCUGUUAUUAGGGAAGAACAUAUGUGUAAGUAACUGUGCACAUCUUGACGGUACCUAAUCAGAAAGCCACGGCUAACUACGUGCCAGCAGCCGCGGUAAUACGUAGGUGGCAAGCGUUAUCCGGAAUUAUUGGGCGUAAAGCGCGCGUAGGCGGUUUUUUAAGUCUGAUGUGAAAGCCCACGGCUCAACCGUGGAGGGUCAUUGGAAACUGGAAAACUUGAGUGCAGAAGAGGAAAGUGGAAUUCCAUGUGUAGCGGUGAAAUGCGCAGAGAUAUGGAGGAACACCAGUGGCGAAGGCGACUUUCUGGUCUGUAACUGACGCUGAUGUGCGAAAGCGUGGGGAUCAAACAGGAUUAGAUACCCUGGUAGUCCACGCCGUAAACGAUGAGUGCUAAGUGUUAGGGGGUUUCCGCCCCUUAGUGCUGCAGCUAACGCAUUAAGCACUCCGCCUGGGGAGUACGACCGCAAGGUUGAAACUCAAAGGAAUUGACGGGGACCCGCACAAGCGGUGGAGCAUGUGGUUUAAUUCGAAGCAACGCGAAGAACCUUACCAAGUCUUGACAUCCUUUGACAACUCUAGAGAUAGAGCCUUCCCCUUCGGGGGACAAAGUGACAGGUGGUGCAUGGUUGUCGUCAGCUCGUGUCGUGAGAUGUUGGGUUAAGUCCCGCAGCGAGCGCAACCCUUAAGCUUAGUUGCCAUCAUUAAGUUGGGCACUCUAAGUUGACUGCCGGUGACAAACCGGAGGAAGGUGGGGAUGACGUCAAAUCAUCAUGCCCCUUAUGAUUUGGGCUACACACGUGCUACAAUGGACAAUACAAAGGGCAGCGAAACCGCGAGGUCAAGCAAAUCCCAUAAAGUUGUUCUCAGUUCGGAUUGUAGUCUGCAACUCGACUACAUGAAGCUGGAAUCGCUAGUAAUCGUAGAUCAGCAUGCUACGGUGAAUACGUUCCCGGGUCU